rnacentral:sRNA from 1 species
AUUAUUUACUUUGGCUCCAAUGCUUGGCUUCUUCUUUCAAGUUGUUUGCCUUCAGUGUUUACAGAAGUGGAUUCCCACAACCAAGGAAAGGGUGGUUAAUGAGUCAGUCUGGAAGUGCUAUUUUUGUUGUCGUGGACUAGAGUCAGUUCACCAUAAUUAGUGAUAUUUUGUGAAAGCAACGCAGAGCACCUAGGCGGUGACAUUUCCUUGGCUCUUCUCAGUAUGCGCAGGGAACACACCCGUGUGCACACUCACAGAUACGUGUUUGCCACAUUUUAGUACAACUCUGUUUCUGCAUUCAACUAUGUGGAUGAGUGCCUGGAACCAAACGUCUGCACAAAUGGUGAUUGUUCCAACCUUGAAGGCUCCUACAUGUGUUCAUGCCACAAAGGCUAUACCCGGACUCCGGACCACAAGCACUGUAGAGAUAUUGAUGAAUGUCAGCAAGGGAAUCUAUGCGUAAACGGGCAGUGCAAAAAUACCGAGGGCUCCUUCAGGUGCACCUGUGGACAGGGGUACCAGCUGUCGGCAGCUAAAGACCAGUGUGAAGACAUUGAUGAAUGCCAGCACCGUCAUCUCUGUGCUCAUGGGCAGUGCAGGAACACUGAGGGCUCUUUUCAAUGUGUGUGUGACCAGGGUUACAGAGCAUCUGGGCUUGGAGACCACUGUGAAGAUAUCAAUGAAUGCUUGGAGGACAAGAGUGUUUGCCAGAGAGGAGACUG